CGUGUAGGCGGCCGAUUAAGUCUGGAGUGAAAGUCCUGCUUUCAAGGUGGGAAUUGCUUUGGAGACUGAUUGGCUUGAGUGCGGAAGAGGUAAGUGGAAUUCCCAGUGUAGCGGUGAAAUGCGUAGAGAUUGGGAGGAACACCAGUGGCGAAGGCGACUUACUGGGCCGUAACUGACGCUGAGGCGCGAAAGUGUGGGGAGCGAACA
rnacentral:rRNA from 1 species